rnacentral:rRNA from 1 species
AUUGAACGCUAGCGGCAUGCCUAACACAUGCAAGUCGAACGGCAGCGCGAGGAGCUUGCUCCCUGGCGGCGAGUGGCGGACGGGUGCGUAACGCGUAGGAAUCUACCUCGUAGCGGGGGACAACCCGGGGAAACUCGGGCUAAUAACGCAUAAUCCCUUCGGAGCAAAGCAGGGGACCGUAAGGACAAGCACUAUGAGAUGAGCCUGCGUUGGAUUAGCUAGUUGGUGGGGUAAAGGCCUACCAAGGCGACGAGCCAUAGCGGGUCUGAGAGGACGACCAGCCACACUGGGACUGAGACACGGCCCAGACUCCUACGGGAGGCAGCAGUGGGGAAUAUUGGACAAUGGGCGAAAGCCUGAUCCAGCAAUGCCGCGUGUGUGAAGAAGGCCUUCGGGUUGUAAAGCACUUUCGGUGGGGAAGAAAAAGCCAAAGAUAAUACCUUUGGAAAUUGACGUUACCCACAGAAGAAGCACUGGCUAACUCUGUGCCAGCCGCCGCCGUAA